rnacentral:rRNA from 1 species
CAGCCGCCGCGGGAAUACGUAGGUGGCAAGCGUUGUCCGGAAUUAUUGGGCGUAAAGGGCUCGCAGGCGGUUUCUUAAGUCUGAUGUGAAAGCCCCCGGCUCAACCGGGGAGGGUCAUUGGAAGCUGGGAAACUUGAGUGCAGAAGAGGAGAGUGGAAUUCCACGUGUAGCGGUGAAAUGCGUAGAGAUGUGGAGGAACACCAGUGGCGAAGGCGACUCUCUGGUCUGUAACUGACGCUGAGGAGCGAAAGCGUGGGGAGCGAACAGGAUUAGAUACCCGCGUAGUCCCUGUCUCUUAUAA